GAUGAACGCUGGCGGCGUGCCUAAUACAUGCAAGUCGAGCGAACGGACGAGAAGCUUGCUUCUCUGAUGGUAGCGGCGGACGGGUGAGUAACACGUGGAUAACCUACCUAUAAGCCUGGGAUAACGGCGGGAAACCGGAGCUAAUACCGGAUAAUAUUUUGAACCGCAUGGUUCAAACGUGAAAGACGGUCUUGCGGUCACUUAUAGAUGGAUCCGCGCUGCAGUAGCUAGUGGGUAAGGUAACGGCUUACCAAGGCAACGAUGCAUAGCCGACCUGAGAGGGUGAUCGGCCAGCCUGGAACUGAGACACGGUCCAGACUCCUACGGGGGGCAGCAGUAGGGAAUCUUCCGCAAUGGGCGAAAGCCUGACGGAGCAAAGCCGGGUGAGUGAUGAAGGUGUUAGGAUCGGAAAACUCUGUUAUUAGGGAAGAACAUAUGUGCAAGUAACUGUGAACAUCUUGACGGUACCUAAUCAGAAAGCCACGGCUAACUACGUG
rnacentral:rRNA from 1 species